rnacentral:tRNA from 1 species
GCAGGAGUGGCGGAACUGGUAUACGCGCUGGUCUCAAAAACCAGUGGGGGCGACUCCAUGAGGGUUCGAUUCCCUCCUCCUGCA